rnacentral:misc_RNA from 1 species
CACUUUUUAUAUGAACUUGGAUGGGUAUUCUAGUUGAGGAAAAUGUCUUUUAUGUUUGGUUCCAGAUUAUUCACUUCAUUGAUUCAAGCUUUGGCUCAUUUUCUCAAUUGAAAGAGACUAUUGUAUGUUAGACAAAACAAUUUUUGACAUGAUGGUAGAAAGAAAUUUGGAUGUGAGAAGGCUUUUUAUAAAGUCAUUGGAGAUCCUGUAUGAGAUUUAGCUUGAGAACCAAGCUAUCAAAAAGAGAUGUAGG